GAUGAAGAACGUAGCGAAAUGCGAUAAGUAGUGUGAAUUGCAGAAUUCAGUGAAUCAUCGAAUCUUUGAACGCACAUUGCGCCCCUUGGUAUUCCAUGGGGCAUGCCUGUUCGAGCGUCAUUUCGACCCUCAAGCAUUGCUUGGUGUUGGGGCACCGCCUGUAAAAGGGCGGGCCCUGAAAUCUAGUGGCGAGCUCGCCAGGACCCCGAGCGUAGUAAUUAUAUUUCGUUCUGGAAGGCCCUGGCGGUGCCCUGCCGUUAAACCCCCAACUUCUGAAAAUUUGACCUCGGAUCAGGUAGGAAUACCCGCUGAACUUAAGCAUAUCAAUAAGCGGAGGA
rnacentral:misc_RNA from 1 species